CAGAUACUUGACCGUAACCUCUGGAGCCGGGCGCAGUCACUGGAAUUCGUGGCAUGGCUGUGCCCAGGGAUCUUCCUGCUUUAGUCCCCUCACCAACAGGCUCCGGUUUCCAUCUUGGGACUCCCGGCACACGUGGAUCCCUGGGAUACAACUUCCUGCUCACUGCCAGCACUUCCUGUAGACUGAAGAGGUCAAACUCUGCAUCGCCUUUUGUAGUGGCCCCCACAGGAUGGGCGCCGGCCAGAGGGACGUCAUCAGCGGGGCCUGGGACGGAAGCGAGUCAGUGGUGCAUCCUCUUCAUCCGCCCCUCUGGCAACAAGGGGCAGACCUUUCAAGUUCCAUUUUGGGCUGGACACCACAACAUUAUUUCCACGCCCGGGGGCAGGACGCUGGCUCUGGCGGGAACCUUUGGCGUGCGUCUCCGGCACAUUGCCCUUGCAGGUACAGCAGACAUUUUGGAGCGCAACAUGGCCUCCGGCCUGACUUCACACAUGAUGCAUAAUUUCAGAGAAGAGAACCUGUCACGUUAAACAUGGUGUCUACUCUGCAGCAUUAUGAUGAUAGAUAGUUUUGUGGAAGAAGAUCCAGGAGAACAUAUAUGGCUACCUUAACAGAGGACGAAAUCAGGAUUCCCGCGGCAGAUGUUUCCGCCGUGUGCAUGGUGCAGCAGAAUCCCAUUGAAAACAACAGAAUUUCCAGCUGAAUUUUCCGCUCGUGUGAACAUGGACUGACUUUUCCAAAAUUUACCCCAUUCAUGUCAGUGGCACUUCUUGGUGAGGAAAUGCAGCAAAGGAUAUGGUAAAAGUGUCACUUAUGGACACAUAAAAUAAGUGGUUUUAAAAAGAGUAAUCUCCAAAUACAGGCAUUUCUCCCAAUAAAAGGUUUUCUUUAUUCCAUCAAGGUAGACAUAAAGGAUUAGAGUAAAAAGUACUUUCAACGCGUUUCUAGCUCGGCCUGAGCUCUUUAUCAAGAUGUGCAUCUUGUAACACUGUCCCAGUUCUACAUAAUUUUCACGCAUCCUAUAGUAAUGCAAACAGAUAGUAACUUCUAGUCCCCACAGUAGACGCUGGUCAUGUGGGCGAACAGUGGGACCUGAAAAGGAGCUGUAUAACUUUCUGAUGUUACUAGCAAGGAGUACAAAAAAAUUAUUUGCGGAGUGCUGCUUUAAUUCAGACCCCAGAUAUCAGCACACUACUCAUACCAAACCUCAAAAUGAAUGGGAUUUUCCUACCAUUAGGAGUUAUCCUCUUCUACAGGAUAGGUGAUAACUGUCUGAUCGCACAAGCCUGCCCUCUGGGACCCCCAAUACAAUCCCAAGAAUGAAGACCUAUAUCAAUAUCAAUGCUGUGGUACAUAAAUGUUCAAUGUCCGUUUAACUGUAUUUUGUAUGUUCUGCUUUGGGUCCUGUUCAGACAUUGUUUAUGCCUGAACAGUUUCUGUGUUAAUUCUUCCUGGGAUUGGAAGAGUUAACCUUCCUGACUUCAGCACUGGGAGGAUAUAUAAGGCCUCUUCAGAUGCUGUUCUGGUGCUGGUGAUUAGACCUGUAUUCUGGCCAUGUUGGCUUGAUGUUCACUAUGAUUGUCUGUGCACAUAUCCUGAGUUUUAACCAUGGUUAUCUGUCCUGUUUGAUAUAUAGAUUUGAACCUGCUUUGUUUUAGUACCUUUAUCGGGUGUAAGUAUUCUUGGCUAGGAG